UACGUAGGGUGCGAGCGUUAAUCGGAAUUACUGGGCGUAAAGCGUGCGUAGGCGGUUCGCUGUGUCCGAUGUGAAAGCCCCGGGCUUAACCUGGGAAUGGCAUUGGAAACUGGCGGGCUUGAGUGCGGCAGAGGGGGGUGGAAUUCCGCGUGUAGCAGUGAAAUGCGUAGAUAUUAGGAGGAACACCAGUUGCGAAGGCGGCUCACUGGACUGGUACUGACGCUGAGGCGCGAAAGCUAGGGGAGCAAACAGG
rnacentral:rRNA from 1 species